CAUAUGCAUUCAACACUUGCAUAAUCAACAUCAGAGAUGUUUCAUCUGAGGAUGAGAAAAUAAUCAUGUCAUCUGCAUACGCCAAAUGAUUGAUCUUUGGACUCCACUUUGGCAUCCCAAAUCCACAAAAAUACAGAUGCUUGGUUAUGAACUGCUGGACUGUUUGUUGUUGCAUUAGCUGCCACCAUUGCCAAUUGAUUAACAGGUGGACGAAUGGCAA